AAAGUCCCCUUCGGGGGAUAAGUAGAGUGGCGCACGGGUGAGUAACACGUAGGUAAUCUACCUUCGGGUGGGGAAUAACCCAGGGAAACUUGGGCUAAUACCGCAUAAUGCAGCGGCACCACAUGGUGACAGUUGUUAAAGCGGGGGAUCUUCGGAUCUCGCGCCUGAAGAGGAGCCUGCGGCAGAUUAGCUAGUUGGUAAGGUAACGGCUUACCAAGGCGACGAUCUGUAGCCGGCCUGAGAGGGCGGUCGGCCACACUGACACUGACAUACGGGUCAGACUCCUACGGGAGGCAGCAGUCGGGAAUUUUGGGCAAUGGGCGAAAGCCUGACCCAGCAACGCCGCGUGAAGGAUGAAAUCCCUCGGGAUGUAAACUUCGCAAGAAUGGGAAGAAUUAGUAGGGGUUAAUACCCUCUAUGAUGACGGUACCAUUUGUAAGCUCCGGCUAACUCCGUGCCAGCAGCCGCGGUAAUACGGGGGGAGCAAGCGUUGUUCGGAUUUACUGGGCGUAAAGGGCGCGUAGGCGGUCAGCACAAGUCAGUUGUGAAAUCUCCGGGCUUAACUCGGAAAGGUCAACUGAUACUGUGCGACUAGAGUGCAGAAGGGGCAACUGGAAUUCUCGGUGUAGCGGUGGAAUGCGUAGAUAUCGAGAGGAACACCUGCGGCGAAGGCGGGUUGCUGGGCUGACACUGACGCUGAUGCGCGAAAGCCAGGGGAGCGAACGGGAUUAGAUACCCCGGUAGUCCUGGCCUUAAACGAUGGAUGCUUGGUGUCUGGAGUUUUAUAGUCUCCGGGUGCCGUAGCUAACGCGUUAAGCAU
rnacentral:rRNA from 1 species